AGCCAUGCCGCGUGUGUGAAGAAGGCCUUCGGGUUGUAAAGCACUUUCAGCAGUGAGGAAGGCGGGUACGUUAAUAGCGUGCUCGUUUGACGUUAGCUGCAGAAGAAGCACCGGCUAACUCCGUGCCAGCAGCCGCGGUAAUACGGAGGGUGCGAGCGUUAAUCGGAAUUACUGGGCGUAAAGCGCAUGCAGGUGGUUCGUUAAGUCAGAUGUGAAAGCCCGGGGCUCAACCUCGGAACUGCAUUUGAAACUGGCGGACUAGAGUACUGUAGAGGGGGGUAGAAUUUCAGGUGUAGCGGUGAAAUGCGUAGAGAUCUGAAGGAAUACCGGUGGCGAAGGCGGCCCCCUGGACAGAUACUGACACUCAGAUGCGAAAGCGUGGGGAGCAAACAGGAUUAGAUACCCUGGUAGUCCACGCCGUAAACGAUGUCUACUUGGAGGUUGUGGCCUUGAGCCGUGGCUUUCGGAGCUAACGCGUUAA
rnacentral:rRNA from 1 species